GAUGAACGCUAGCUACAGGCUUAACACAUGCAAGUCGAGGGGAAACGACAUCGAAAGCUUGCUUUUGAUGGGCGUCGACCGGCGCACGGGUGAGUAACGCGUAUCCAACCUGCCCAUCACUUGGGAAUAACCUUGCGAAAGUAAGACUAAUACCCAAUGAUAUCCCACGAAGGCAUCGGAAUGGGAUUAAAGAUUUAUCGGUGAUGGAUGGGGAUGCGUCUGAUUAGCUUGUUGGCGGGGUAACGGCCCACCAAGGCAACGAUCAGUAGGGGUUCUGAGAGGAAGGGCCCCCACAUUGGAACUGAGACACGGUCCAAACUCCUACGGGAGGCAGCAGUGAGGAAUAUUGGUCAAUGGGCGAGAGCCUGAACCAGCCAAGUAGCGUGCAGGAAGACGGCCCUAUGGGUGGUAAACUGCUUUUAGAAGGGAAUAAAGUGGGUCACGUGUGACUUUUUGCAUGUACCUUAUGAAUAAGGACCGGCUAAUUCCGUG
rnacentral:rRNA from 1 species